CCACACCACCACCCCGCCCCACCACACACUGCUUCUGCAACUCAGAACAUCCCCACUUCACAACAGCUUUGAUUCCAAGGACGGUUCGGGAUCUGCGCAUGGGGGCCUGGCGCCAGCCGCUGCUGCCUACUACCCUUACGAGCCGGUUCUGGGCCAGUGCCCCUAUGACAGGUAUGGAACCAUGGACAGCGGCACGCGGCGCAAGAACGCCACGCGCGAGACCACCAGCACGCUCAAGGCCUGGCUGCAGGAGCACCGCAAGAACCCCUACCCCACCAAGGGCGAGAAGAUCAUGCUGGCCAUCAUCACCAAGAUGACCCUCACACAGGUCUCCACCUGGUUCGCCAACGCGCGCCGGCGCCUCAAGAAGGAGAACAAGAUGACGUGGCCGCCGCGGAACAAGUGCGCAGACGAGAAGCGGCCCUACGCGGAGGGCGAGGAGGAGGAGGGGGGCGAGGAGGAGGCGCGGGAGGAGCCCCUGAAGAGCUCCAAGAACGCAGAGCCCGUG
rnacentral:sRNA from 1 species